AUCCGCACGUCCUCCCGUCGGUUGCAUGGAUUUUUUAACUUUCUCACGAAAAAGUGCGUUUAGUGUACACAAUUUAUGCGUAAUCUGUUACUAGUGCCCUGCUUAGCCUCCUGAAAAAGCGCGUUAUAUUAAUACUACAACACCACACACUCCUUCCCCACUCACACGAGCAUUGCUAGCUCUCUGUGUUGGUUAAUAAAAUUUCCUAAUUCAACAUUAGUGAAUUUCGUUAGCCGAUGCAGUUGGUUAACAGUGUUUUUGUCGGUGUGGAUCCCCGGCUUAAGAUGACUCCAGAGCGCGGCGCGGCCUUCCCCAAGAGAGGAGACUUCUUGGGUCACCCCCUAACCCUGAUGUUCGGGCAUCGAUGACCUGUGUAGCAUGCAGAGGUACCCAAGGGAGUCACCACCCUCUGGUUUACGAGCUAGGUGUUCUAAUGCUAGAGGCUUCGGCCGGAUACAACUUGGCACCCAAGCUCCGAGAUUUCUUCGUGCACGUAUUCCGUGACCCUCGAAGAGGCAGGGGGCGGGAUAUCGGACACAUUGAAGAUGAUGAGGGGGGUCCGCCUGUAGGGGGUCCCGGUGGAUGUCCGUCCGACGGGUGACGAGGGUGACCCCAGACGAGGCGGCUUAAUUGGGAUGGGAACUGACUGGUGAGGCUUAAUCGUCGACCAAUGGGUCGAAUCUGCAUAAGGAAGGCAACCAGCACACACUCGCAGGCGGGUCGUGGAAACAUUUUUUUUUCUCUUGGUCUGCCCCGCGUCGAAUUUUGAAGGCAGAAAAUGUCGGGAGGAGGCGAGCAUAACCAGGCCUAACUUAAACCUGUUAAAAGACAACCCGGGUUCGCAGCGCGAUUUUUAAAAACUAAGAAGUCAGAAAUUCUAUCUACAUGCUGCAUAUGAUCAGUCCCAAAAAAUUUCGGAUUGUUUCAGGUACCGUCGAAUACCUGGAAAACGUGUUUAUUGUCAACUCUACAGGAUCGACCGAAGUCCAUGGAGUUGGGGGCAUUCGAUGUGCCCCAUAGCAGUGAGACGCCACUGUUUUUUCGCCGUAUAAUUAUUAUGGUGGGACUGAAAAUGAACUUAAGCAAGAUAUGAUGGUGAUACAGUAUGGCUUGGAGAAUUUCAAAAGUCGGUUCGCGUCGUGGUUCCAAAGCGGUAACUUUAGGUUCCCUACAUUUACAGAAUGUCGCAUUAAGUACUUAUUUUUUAAUUUGCAAUUUUUACAUUUCAUUUUUACUUUUUUUCUUACUCUAUACAAGGCUUUAAUAUAAAGUUUUUUUAGCAAUAAUAAAUGGGUAAUAAAAAAAUAUCUCCAAAAAGACAAAAUUAGGUAGCAUAUUGUUUUUCUAUUAUAUUUGGAAAUAACUAUUUUUGGUCUUAUUUUAAAAUUGAUAAUAUUAUUUAAUUUUUUUAAUAGUGAUUUUUAAUUAAACGUAAAUUAGUAAAUAAUGUAAUUUUACAUUAUAAUGAGAAUUAAAGUAUUAGUAAUUUAUUUUUGUUACUAAAAUUAAAUUCAGUUUGUUCCUGCCAUAAAUCUUUUUAGUACUUAACUGCUUUGGAAUGAAUUUUUUGGGGGGACAACAGCAGGAUUAGGGCCAUCUUCUAGAUGCCAUCAGGUAGGUGCGCUAGCGUAGUCGUUUGUUGUAGCAUUAUCCCUUUUCCCCCUUUUUAAAAAAUGUUUGUAAGACGCCUGAAAUUUGUAUAAGUUAGUUAUAUAAGUAGUUGAAUAAGAAUUGGUGAGACAUGGAAAGUAGAACAGGACAGAGAAGAUGAAAGAGGAUUGCUUUGAAAUAGAAGGAAAGGAGAUAGAAGAUGUUUGAGGAAAGGUGGAGGAUUUUGUUCGCUGUAACGGAAGUUUUUUGAAUGAAAUUUGGAGCAACUGUAUUAAGAUGUUAUUGGUAUCUUGGACGUCAAGUUUCAUUUAUUUAUGUAUUAUACAAGCAUAUCUAUUGGUGGAAAUGUAGAAUAGCAGAUGUUAUAACAACUUGGAUGAAUUAUUAGAAACACCAAAGAAGUUUUGACAUAAUUUAAACUGGGAAAAGGCUCACAGAUGACCAAUUUAUUCUACAGUAGAUACAGGACAUUAAAUUGACUUCAACAACGCAGAUAUCUCUCAAAAAUGAUAUUUGUUCGAGUGAUGUACUGGGCGUUGACAGUUGCUGUUACAAAUCUGCAAAUGAGUUAGAACUGUACAUAAGUUUGAUGAAUGCCGGAGGAAUUUUUUGAAUAAAUUGAUACUGAAAAUCUUACCCACAAAUGACAAUUUCAAGAUACAAUCAAUAGUACUUAGAUUGACUGGCCUUCAUUACCAAUGCGCUAUGAAAAUGUAAGCAAAACAAAUUGGUAUUAAUGGACGUUUUGACAGCUGUUUCCAGUCCAAGUUCCAGUUUUAAUGGAAAAUCUUUAAUGGACACAGAAAAAUGCCAUUUACUGGAUUGACUUCAACACCUGUUGCCUUUUAACAAUGGCAUACGAUAGGACAAUGGCUAUUAGAAACCGAUAAGACAUACUAGCUGCAAAUAAUAUGUAUGGUGGUCAUAAAAGAGAUUUAAAUGAAAUGAGAGAGAGAAACUCUUGUGCAGAAGAAAUCAAGGAAAACCAUUUUGAACUGCUGUUACUUAAUAGCUGUUAGAGCGGAUCCAGUUCUUCACCAAUAGUAUACGCUUGGGCAAUUGCUGUUGAAAAUCCACAAGCCGUACUAUCUGCAAAUAUUAUGGUGGUUAGGCUUUAAAAAGCUUUAAAUGGAAUGAAACUUGCAGGAAUAGACUCAGGAAGACCAUUUAGGACUGUACUUAAUAGCUGUUACUGUGGUCGCAGUCCUUUAUCAAUAAUAUCUCUGCAUUUUUCUUAACAAUGGAUAUCAACAGUAGCUCCUACUCCUCACUUUCUUCUUUCUCUCAACAUAAAGCAGACUCAGUACUCCUCAAUGCCUCACCAAGGUUCGUUAGCUUCAUUAAUAGUGUUAUUGUUUCAAUAAAUUUGUUUAUUGGUUUUUAUCUUCUUACUAUAUAAUUAUAUCAGGCGUCAUUUUAAUGUUAAUUUUUUGUAAAAUUUUGAUAAUCUGGAUAGAAACCUUUUUUCUUCUUAAGCUUUUGCAAUAUAAAACACUAGUUAAGAGCAAUACGCUUUAUUUUAUGAAUAGGACCAUUAUCUCUGUUGAUAUUGUCUUUAUAUUUAUGCUUUGUGUUGCCUCUAGUUUGAGGGACGUUUGAUUAAUUUUAAAUCAUUCAAAUCAAUGCAAUCAUCUUUAUGGAGGAUAUGUUGAGCAACAUGAUGCUAAUCUGUUAUAAUUUUUUCAUCUCAAGCUUUUUUUCAAUCUCACCUAUCUUAUAUUUACUUCCAUUAGUUCAAUCAUUAAAUUGUUAUUAAAUAAAACUAUAUUGUAUUCUGGAUUUCGUUAAAGGUAUUUUUAAAAUAUUUAAAAAACAAUCUUUAUAGGCUUGUAUCAUUUCCAAUUUAUUUUAUCUUUUACUUAAUUAUAUAACUAACUUCUUAAUUAUAUAACUAAACUUCUCUAAGUUUAUUCCAGAUUAUCAAAAUUAUAAUUUUUAUACUUGCGCAUCUGCGUCACUAUAGCCCUAUGAACACAAGUAUUAUUUUGGUUUUAAAGUUUAUAUUUUUUAAUAUUUCAUUUAUUGUAUUAACGCAAAACUAAAUUUUAUAGAAUUUAACUAACUAUAUCUUCAACCGGAUGAUAAUUUAAUAGUUAAUGGUCAUUUAAUAUUUUUUCAUAAACAUUAAAUGUGAUUAUUGAAUACCAAUGUUAAGCCAGUAGAAAUGAUUUAUUAGUGUUUAUUUUUUUGAAAUAUUUUUUUUAUUAAAUCAAUUUUGGAUACUUGUGUUCAUAUAGUUUUUUUUGCUUUUGAGAAUUAUUUUUGGUACCCUAACGCAGAUGUUUUUAAUCAAUUUAUAUGAUUUUAAAAUAUGUUUAUAUCUAUUUUGUAUUUAAAUUUUAGCGAUAAAGUUUGUUUCUUUAACACAGAGAGCAAUGCACUUCACGCAUUGUUUUCUUUUUUAUGUGCACAAUUUUCUUUAUAUACAGUAUGUUCUCAGAACGUCUUUACAAGAGCAAAAGCUUUUUUUUUAUUAAUAUUUUCAUAAAAAAUAUUUUUCUUUUUAAUAUUUUCAUUUCAAUUUCUUUAACAAAUAUAUUUUGAGCAUACAUUUUAAAAUUAUUUUUCAUAGAUAUACUGUGCGAUUCAAGUAUAUUUAUACUAAAUUUGUUUUUUUAAUGAAUUUUAACCUUUAGUAUUACUGGUUGUCUAAUCGAUUCUUAUGUAAUCUUAUGUAUGUGGUAAUGUUCUUAUUAUUUAAAAAAAAAUCUUAUUUCCAGUAGUAAUUUUUUCUCUCAAUUUUAGUAUUUAAAAUGUCUCUAUCUUGUCAUAUUUUUUUAACAUAUCUAUUAGACCUCUACUCAAACUUUAUCUCCUAAAAUUUAUGAAUUUUACAUAUGAAAAUGGUCUGCUAGGGUAUAUAAUAUAUUUAUUGUAGGAUCAGUUGAAAUAUCAUAAGUCAUAAUAUAAAAAUUCACAUUUAUAUAUACAUAUUUGUUAAAUAUAUAAUUUUAAGAUAAAACACAUUUUUACACAAAAAUAAUAAUUCUAGUUUUAUAUUAUGUGGCAUAUCUUUUUUCAGUUGGUCCUUCAACAUUUAAAAUCUUUUGACAUUUCAUUCCACUUAAAUGUCAAAAAUAUAUAUUUUAAUACCAAUUUUGUAUGUUAUUUGGUGUAUUAGAAUUUUAUAAAUAUUGUUUUUAAUAUUUUGUUAAUAAUAGUGAUCUAUAGCUUACCUUUGCUAUCUGUAAUAGGAAAUAUUUCUAAAUAUUUUUUGUUGAAAAUAAAUAUUACUUUAUAACAUUUAUUAAGCAAAAUAAAUUUGAAGAUCCCUAUUAUUAUCAAAGAGAUAUCAUUAAAGUGUUUCAAUACAAUAUCUUUUUUUUUUUUCAAACGUUACAAAACUAUUAAUUUUUAUGACAUGAUGACAACAUAUUGAUGACAUUAUAUUUUUUGCAACGUUUGAAAUUAUUUAACACAUUAUAUUUGACGUUUGAAAAAAGAACAUG
rnacentral:lncRNA from 1 species